rnacentral:lncRNA from 1 species
AUGAGAUCAGUGAACUUCAGCAGACUCCAAGAAGCAGAGAAUCGAAACCAAGAACUGAGUCAAAGUGUUUCAUCAACAACAAGACCAUUGCUCCGACAGAUAGAAAAUUUACAGGCAACUCUAGGCUCUCAGACUUCAUCGUGGGAGAUGCUAGAGAAGAAUCUUUCUGACAGGCUUGGUAAUCUCUUUAGUAUUUUAUGUUUGAUGCAGGAGAGUUUUUGUCUUGUGUAUAGAAGUAGGAUAGUGGUAUGACAUUGAAAUUCAUCUGAUCUCACAGUGACAUUUGGUGUCUAACAUGUAUAGAUUUGUUUCCCCCUUUUUCAUGUUUAUAUUAAUACCUCAAUAAUGACUCUUCUAAAUUAGUUUUCCUUACACACUGUCAGAUAUUUUACUGCUUGCUGUUUCAUUUAUUGUGUGUGUGUUUGUGUGUGCAAGUAUUUGUGAAAAUUUAUGUGCACAUACUAAGUGCAUGUGUGUGGAGGCCAGAGGUUGAUAUCUGGAGUCUUCAUCAGUUUCUUCUCCACCUUAUUUUUUUCCCCUGAACCUGGAGCUGACUGAUUUGGCUAGAUCGGCUGGCUGGCGAGUUGCAUGCAUCCUUCUGUGUCUGCCUGCCUAGCUGUGGGAUUACACACACUCCUGCACCUGACUUUUUUAUGGUGCUGGGACUCUUGAGUCCUGUGCACUUGGCUAAGCUGUCUCCCUGGUCCUGGUUCUUUCACUUCUUUUUAUAGAUGACUGACAAAUCUCUUCCUCGUCCCUCAUCCAUUGGUACAUCUGACCCGUUUCUAGCUUGUCUGUGAGAAUGUAAGCAAUGGGGGUCAGAUACAAUUCCAGAUAGUGUAGAAUUCCAGAAGCAGGGGCAAGUCUGAAGAGGAUCAAGAUGAAAUCAUACAAGAGAGAUAUGAUGAAGUCUUAAGACUGCAUACUCUGCUUCCUAAUAGAUACUCCUUGAGCUACUUCUCUCUGCUCUUACUAAAGAAAACAAUGUCAAGGUGUUGCUCUGUAGUCGUAGGCAGGUGGUAUGUGUAUAUACUGGAUAUCCAGAAGCUAACAGACUCAUGAAAAAUUCAUGCAUGAUUUCUGGUUCUUAAAAAUCCUAUGUGUAGCUUGGAAGAUUGUAACACGAAAAAUAAAAACCCAGAGAUCGAUGUUGGGAUUCAAGCUGAUGGUCAGAUAAGCAAAGAAGCCAGCCACUAGCUCUUACCACUACCUCAAACUGAGAGGGUGAGCCUGGCUCCACAAAUCCGCGGAGUACAAUGCUCUCUCCGCAUGACACCCUCCGCUUCUUCCUUUAAUAAUUCCCUAGUGCUGGGAUUAAAAGCAUGUGAUCCCAAGUG